rnacentral:rRNA from 1 species
CCUACGGGUGGCAGCAGUGAGGAAUAUUGGUCAAUGGGCGAGAGCCUGAACCAGCCAAGUCGCGUGAGGGAAGACGGUCCUACGGAGUGUAAACCUCUUGUGGCAGGGAGCAAGGAGCGCCAGGAGUGGUGCGGCGAGAGUACCUGAAGAAAAAGCAUCGGCUAACUCCGUGCCAGCAGCCGCGGUAAUACGGAGGAUGCGAGCGUUAUCCGGAUUUAUUGGGUUUAAAGGGGGCGCAGGCGGAAGCGGCAUGUCAGCGGUAAAUUUGCGGGGCUCAACUUCGCCGAGCCGUUGAUACUGCUCUUCUAGAGUGGGCGAGACGUAUGGGGAAUGCGGGGUGUAGCGGUGAAAUGCAUAGAUAUCACGCAGAACUCCGAUUGCGAAGGCAGCAUACCGGCGCCCAACUGACGCUCAUGCACGAAAGCGUGGGUAUCGAACAGGAUUAGAUACCCGAGUAGUC